GGGGUUGUUGCUCAGUGGUAGAGCACUCACCUUGCACAUGUGGGACCCUGGGUUCAAUUCUCAGCACCCUA
rfam:Ictidomys tridecemlineatus contig001058, whole genome shotgun sequence.